rnacentral:rRNA from 1 species
AUUGAACGCUGGCGGCAGGCCUAACACAUGCAAGUCGAACGAGUGGCGGACGGGUGAGUAAUGUCUGGGAAACUGCCUGAUGGAGGGGGAUAACUACUGGAAACGGUAGCUAAUACCGCAUACCAUCGGAUGUGCCCAGAUGGGAUUAGCUAGUAGGUGGGGUAAGGGCUCACCUAGGCGACGAUCCCUAGCUGGUCUGGGAGGAUGACCAGCCACACUGGAACUGAGACACGGUCCAGACGCCGACGGGAGGCAGCAGUGGGGAAUAUUGCACAAUGGGCGCAAGCCGGAUGCAGCCAUGCCGCGUGUAUGAAGAAGGCCUUCGGGUUGUAAAGGACUUUCAGCGAGGAGGCGUUACCCGCAGAAGAAGCACCGGCUAACUCAGUGACAGCAGCCGCGGUAAUAC